rnacentral:rRNA from 1 species
AGAGUUUGAUCCUGGCUCAGAACGAACGCUGGCGGCGUGGAUAAGACAUGCAAGUCGAACGAGAGAAUUGCUAGCUUGCUAAUAAUUCUCUAGUGGCGCACGGGUGAGUAACACGUGAGUAACCUGCCCCCGAGAGCGGGAUAGCCCUGGGAAACUGGGAUUAAUACCGCAUAGUAUCGAAAGAUUAAAGCAGCAAUGCGCUUGGGGAUGGGCUCGCGGCCUAUUAGUUAGUUGGUGAGGUAACGGCUCACCAAGGCGAUGACGGGUAGCCGGUCUGAGAGGAUGUCCGGCCACACUGGAACUGAGACACGGUCCAGACACCUACGGGUGGCAGCAGUCGAGAAUCAUUCACAAUGGGGGAAACCCUGAUGGUGCGACGCCGCGUGGGGGAAUGAAGGUCUUCGGAUUGUAAACCCCUGUCAUGUGGGAGCAAAUUAAAAAGAUAGUACCACAAGAGGAAGAGACGGCUAACUCUGUGCCAGCAGCCGCGGUAAUACAGAGGUCUCAAGCGUUGUUCGGAAUCACUGGGCGUAAAGCGUGCGUAGGCUGUUUCGUAAGUCGUGUGUGAAAGGCGCGGGCUCAACCCGCGGACGGCACAUGAUACUGCGAGACUAGAGUAAUGGAGGGGGAACCGGAAUUCUCGGUGUAGCAGUGAAAUGCGUAGAUAUCGAGAGGAACACUCGUGGCGAAGGCGGGUUCCUGGACAUUAACUGACGCUGAGGCACGAAGGCCAGGGGAGCGAAAGGGAUUAGAUACCCCUGUAGUCCUGGCAGUAAACGGUGAACGCUUGGUGUGCGGGGAAUCGACCCCCUGCGUGCCGGAGCUAACGCGUUAAGCGUGCCGCCUGGGGAGUACGGUCGCAAGAUUAAAACUCAAAGAAAUUGACGGGGACCCGCACAAGCGGUGGAGUAUGUGGCUUAAUUCGAUGCAACGCGAAGAACCUUACCUGGGCUUGACAUGUAAUGAACAACAUGUGAAAGCAUGCGACUCUUCGGAGGCGUUACACAGGUGCUGCAUGGCCGUCGUCGGCUCGUGUCGUGAGAUGUUUGGUUAAGUCCAGCAACGAGCGCAACCCCUGUUGCCAGUUACCAGCACGUGAAGGUGGGGACUCUGGCGAGACUGCCCAGAUCAACUGGGAGGAAGGUGGGGACGACGUCAGGUCAGUAUGGCCCUUAUGCCCAGGGCUGCACACGUACUACAAUGCCCAGUACAGAGGGGGCCGAAGCCGCGAGGCGGAGGAAAUCCUAAAAACUGGGCCCAGUUCGGACUGUAGGCUGCAACCCGCCUACACGAAGCCGGAAUCGCUAGUAAUGGCGCAUCAGCUACGGCGCCGUGAAUACGUUCCCGGGUCUUGCACUCACC